rnacentral:sRNA from 1 species
UUUUAGCCCCGAUUGCAGUGAAAAUCCUUGUGAACCGGGGUUCGGUUCACAAGAUUGUAACGGAAAGCGGGAGUAUAC